UGUCUCUCCGUUAAAACUUGAAUUUUACUUUUAAGUGAAAAGGCUUAAAUUUUUUAGGGGGACGAUAAGACCCUAUAAAGCUUAAUGAUUAAAAGUUAAAUUUUUUGAUGUAACUUAUAAAAUUAAAUUAAAUAAAAUCAUUUUGUUGGGGCGACACAGGUAUAAAUACAUAUAACUGCCAGAUUUUUAACCAUAAUUAUAUGAUAUAAUAAUGAUCCUAUAUAAAGAUUAAAAGAUUAAGUUACUUUAGGGAUAACAGCGUAAUUCUUUUUAAGAGUUCUUAUUGAAAAAAGAGUUUGCGACCUCGAUGUUGAAUUAAAAAUCCUUUAUGGUGCAGCAGCUAUAAAAGGAGGUCUGUUCGACCUUUAAAUUUUUA
rnacentral:rRNA from 1 species